GGCUGCGUGGCCCAGUGGUUAAGGCAUCUGCUUUACAAACAAAAGUCGCAGAGGAUCGCAGGUUCGAGCCCUGCCGCGGUCA